UCCAAUGAGGAAAUCCUGUUGUGUCUUACUUUCUGCCCUGGCACCAGAACCUGCAAAGGUUGAACCCACUGGUGGCAGCAGAGGGAGAGGAAGAAACUCAGCUCCAGAAGGAACUGUCUGAUGGAA